GCUCUUUCUACCAAUAACUGGAGCUGCAGGGUCACAUUGUGAAGCUGGAGAGUGAAGCCAACUCAAAGGAAAGCAGAGUCAAGAGCUGAAGAGAGUCAGGUCCCUGGUGACCCGGGCCACCAAGCUGGGAGGAUGCAUGUCUGGGGUUGUCAGCUGCCACGUGCCGUAAUGCGUGGAGGAAGACCAUGUGCAGCAGAAGAAAAGGAACCAACACACAGGCCUGUAGAGUCUGGUGCUGACUCUCAAGUUACAUGCGGUCAUGUGACAGGAGAGUUGGAGCCGGGGUGCCUGAUGACAUUGUGGAGCCCAGCCACCUACCUCCGCUAGACCAGUUGCCUAUCCCUGCGCUGUGAGGGAGAAAAACUGGACCUAUCUCAUAUAUACUGUGAGGAUUAAAGGCGUCAAUAAAGGUAAAGAACUCAAAAGAGGGAGAUUUCCUGGAUGGUCCAGUGGCUAAGACUCCAAGCUUCCAAUGCACAGUGCCU